CCUACGGGAGGCAGCAGUGGGGAAUAUUGGGCAAUGGGCGCAAGCCUGACCCAGCAACGCCGCGUGAAGGAAGAAGGCUUUCGGGUUGUAAACUUCUUUUCUGUGGGACGAUGAAAGUGACGGUACCUCAGGAAUAAGCCACGGCUAACUACGUGCCAGCAGCCGCGGUAAUACGUAGGUGGCAAGCGUUCUCCGGAUUUAUUGGGUGUAAAGGGCGUGUAGGAGGGAAAGUAAGUCAGAUGUGAAAACUCAGGGCUCAACCCUGGGCCUGCAUUUGAAACUGUUUUUCUUGAGUGCUGGAGAGGCAAGCGGAAUUCCGUGGGUAGCGGUGAAAUGCGUAGAUAUACGGAGGAAAACCAGUGGCGAAGGCGAAUUGCUGGACAGUAACUGACGCUGAGGCGCGAAAGCGUGGGGAGCAAACAGGAUUAGAUACCCCUGUAGUC
rnacentral:rRNA from 1 species